AUUGAACGCUGGCGGCAGGCCUAACACAUGCAAGUCGAACGGUAACAGGAAGAAGCUUGCUUCUUUGCUGACGAGUGGCGGACGGGUGAGUAAUGUCUGUGAAACUGCCUGAUGGAGGGGGAUAACUACUGGAAACGGUAGCUAAUACCGCAUAACGUCGCAAGACCAAAGAGGGGGACCUUCGGGCCUCUUGCCAUCGGAUGUGCCCAGAUGGGAUUAGCUAGUAGGUGGGGUAACGGCUCACCUAGGCGACGAUCCCUAGCUGGUCUGAGAGGAUGACCAGCCACACUGGAACGGAGACACGGUCCAGACCCCUACGGGAGGCAGCAGUGGGGAAUAUUGCACAAUGGGCGCAAGCCAGAUGCAGCCAUGCCGCGUGUAUGAAGAAGGCCUUCGGGUUGUAAAGUACUUUCAGCGGGGAGGAAGGGAGUAAAGUUAAUACCUUUGCUCAUUGACGUUACCCGCAGAAGAAGCACCGGCUAACUCCGUG
rnacentral:rRNA from 1 species